rnacentral:rRNA from 1 species
AUUGAACGCUGGCGGCAGGCCUAACACCUGCAGGUCGACCGAGCGGCGGACGGGUGAGUAUUUUCUGGGAAACUGCCCGAAGGAGGGGGAUAACUCCUGGAAACGGUAGCUAAUACAGCAUACCAUCGGAUGUCCCAAGAUGGGAUUAGCUAGUAGGUGGGGUAAAGGAUAACCUAGGAGACGAUCCCUAGCUGGUCUGAGAGGAUGACCAGCCACACGGGAACUGAGACACGGUCCAGACUCCUACGGGAGGCAGCAGUGGGGAAUAUUGCACAAUGGGCGCAAGCCUGAUGCAGCCAUGCCGCGUGUAUGAAGAAGGCCUUCGGGUUGUAAAGUACGUUCAGCGGGGAGGCGUUACCCGCAGAAGAAGCACCGGCUAACUCCGUGCCAGCAGCCGCGGUAAUAC